UUUCCGUAGGUGAACCUGCGGAAGGAUCAUGACAAUAAGUGUUUUAUGGCACUAUUUAUACAAUCCGUAUUUACAUUGUGUGCAACGUUAUGAGACCCCCUAUCGUUAUCUUUUAGGUUACGGAAGGGCGAACCUCUACAACUUACCAACAUAACCUAUAACUUACUUGUCUGAGCAAUUGUUAUCACGAAUUAACUUAAUUCGAAAAUACAACUUUCAACAACGGAUCUCUUGGCUCUC
rnacentral:misc_RNA from 1 species